UCCCUGGUGGCUCAGAGGGUAAAGCGUCUGCCCACUAUGCAGGAGACCCGGGUUUGAUUCCUGGGUGGGGAA
rnacentral:tRNA from 1 species